AAAAGACAGUCUGUCUGCUGCACCUGGUGGUAAACGUUGGAACUGCAGCAAUUUUAUGCUUACCAAAGCUGUAUCUCAAAUUCAAGGAAAAAAAAUCUUCAUCCUAAAGCAGCCCUAAUGAGUGUGUUCUGCGAUCUUGUUAUUUCACCAAAUCCCAUCUACCUGCUGAGAUAGGACCCAUGGGACUACUCUCAUUGACCUCAGGAAGAAACUAAGUCUUGUACACAUUGCAGCUGGCGAAAAGACUACACGUGGAGCCCAUGGGAGAAGUUUACUGCUGCUGAUGGCAAUGUUCUGGAUACUGGGAAACAAAAGCAAAAAGGUGAGAGAACUGGAGCGCAGGAACUUAAAUUGCCCAUGAUCACUGGGCAACUGUAUCCCAGAGCCAGGUGCAUGUCACUCCAAAACUCAUCUCCAUGCCGCUGCUGUUCCAUCAAAAGUUAAACAGAUGACCUAUCAAGUUUGUGGGUGAAGAAUAUAAAACUGGGGCAGAGGAUGGACAGACAGAAGGCCUAAAUUCUAG